GAUGAAGAACGCAGCGAAAUGCGAUAAGUAAUGUGAAUUGCAGAAUUCAGUGAAUCAUCGAAUCUUUGAACGCACAUUGCGCCCUCUGGUAUUCCGGGGGGCAUGCCUGUUCGAGCGUCAUUAUAACCACUCAAGCUCUCGCUUGGUAUUGGGGUUCGCGGUUUCGCGGCCCCUAAAAUCAGUGGCGGUGCCUGUCGGCUCUACGCGUAGUAAUACUCCUCGCGAUUGAGUCCGGUAGGUCUACUUGCCAGCAACCCCUAAUUUUUUAAGGUUGACCUCGGAUCAGGUAGGGAUACCCGCUGAACUUAAGCAUAUCAAUAAGCGGAGGA
rnacentral:misc_RNA from 1 species